GACGAACGCUGGCGGCGUGCUUAACACAUGCAAGUCGAGCGGGAUCCAACCGGUGGCAACACCGGGGAAGAUCUAGCGGCGAACGGGUGAGUAACACGUGAGCAACCUGCCCCGAAGACUGGGAUAACACCGGGAAACCGGUGCUAAUACCGGAUGUCGUCAUUAGGCCGCAUGACCUGAUGAUGAAAGGAUUCAUCGCUUCGGGAGGGGCUCGCGGGCUAUCAGCUUGNGGUGGGGUAACGGCCUACCAAGGCGACGACGGCUAGCUGGUCUGAGAGGACGACCAGCCACACUGGGACUGAGACACGGCCCAGACUCCUACGGGAGGCAGCAGUGGGGAAUCUUGCGCAAUGGGCGAAAGCCUGACGCAGCAACGCCGCGUGGGGGAUGAAAUCCUUCGGGUUGUAAACCUCUUUCAGCUCCGACGAAGCGAGAGUGACGGUAGGAGCAGAAGAAGCACCGGCCAACUACGUGCCAGCCGCCGCGGU
rnacentral:rRNA from 1 species